rnacentral:rRNA from 1 species
AGGACGAACGCUGGCGGCGUGCUUAACACAUGCAAGUCGAGCGGAAAGGCCCUUCGGGGUACUCGAGCGGCGAACGGGUGAGUAACACGUGGGCAACCUGCCCCUCACACUGGGAUAACCUCGGGAAACCGGGGCUAAUACCGGAUAUGACCUCGAGCGGCAUCUCUUGAGGUGGAAAGCUCCGACGGUGAGGGAUGGGCCCGCGGCCUAUCAGCUUGUUGGUGGGGUAAUGGCCUACCAAGGCGACGACGGGUA